rnacentral:rRNA from 1 species
AGCAGCCGCGGUAAUUCCAGCUCCAAUAGCGUAUAUUAAAGUUGCUGCAGUUAAAAAGCUCGUAGUUGAAUUUCGGGACUAAUAUGUCGGUCGUGCCUCGGUACGUACUGGUAUUUUUGGUUUCUCCCUUCUGACGAACCUUGAUGUCAUUAAUUUGGUGUCUUGGGAAAUCAGGACUGUUACUUUGAAAAAAUUAGAGUGUUUAAAGCAGGCUCACGCUUGAAUACAUUAGCAUGGAAUAAUGAAAUAGGACGUUUGAUUCUAUUUUGUUGGUUUCUAGGAUCGACGUAAUGAUUAAUAGGGAUAGUUGGGGGCAUUAGUAUUCAAUUGUCAGAGGUGAAAUUCUUGGAUUUAUUGAAGACUAACUACUGCGAAAGCAUUUGCCAAGGAUGUUUUCAUUAAUCAAGAACGAAAGUUAGGGGAUCGAAGACGAUCAGAUACCGUCGUAGU